rnacentral:rRNA from 1 species
GACAGAGGGUGCAAACGUUGUUCGGAAUUACUGGGCGUAAAGCGCGUGUAGGCGGUUCGGAAAGUCGGGUGUGAAAGCCCUGGGCUCAACCCAGGAAGUGCACUCGAAACUCCCGAACUAGAGUCCUGGAGAGGAAGGCGGAAUUCUCGGUGUAGAGGUGAAAUUCGUAGAUAUCGAGAGGAACAUCGGUGGCGAAGGCGGCCUUCUGGACAGCGACUGACGCUGAGACGCGAAAGCGUGGGGAGCAAACAGGAUUAGAUACCCUGGUAGUCCACGCCGUAAACGAUGGGUGCUAGGUGCUGCGGGCUUUGACCCCUGCGGUGCCGUAGCUAACGCAUUAAGCACCCCGCCUGGGGAGUACGGCCGCAAGGCUAAA